rnacentral:lncRNA from 1 species
GGGAGUGGCCCCUUUAAGAGGUGGGGCCUGAGGGAGGCCCCACCCCCAGAGGCAUCUGAGCCCACACUGUGAAAGGGCAGCCAGCAGGGAGGCCUCCUCCAGCCUCCAGCCUGGCCCCUGCUGCUCCAGCCAGUUUCCUCUGCUUCUCUGCCUGUGGUGAGGCUGGCACUCAAAGCUCUUGACCUUUAAACUAGUGCAGUGUUCUGGCUCCGCCGCUGCUUUCUCCUGCAUUAGUUGGACUGUGUUUUGAAGGAGAGGCUCCCUGAAUCCGCCACUGGUUUCAAGUCCAGGAGGGGAGGGAGGACCCACUGGCUCUCCCCUCGGGUCUCUGGUUUUCCAGAACAGGAACUUGUUCUCUGCCACCCUCCAAAGCAAGCCCUCUUCGGGGAUGAUGGCAUGAUAUCAUGGAUGCACACACUUGCUGGUGGGUUUUGGUCCUUUGCAGUUAUUGUCAUUUUGAAGCUCAUUGUCCCAUCUUUAGUCAGGGGACAGCAUUUCACGAAGGUUGCUGGGUUCUUAGGACAUGACCCGAGAACUUCCUUUCUAGCUAGUAUUAAAAGAAACUUCAGGUCAUCUGCAUGCUUUCUGCCCCAGACCUGGAGUCAUUUCUGUAAAAAAACAC